AUACGGAGGGUGCAAGCGUUACUCGGAAUCACUGGGCGUAAAGCGCGCGCAGGCGGCUAUUUAAGUUGGAUGUGAAAGCCUACGGCUCAACCGUAGAACUGCAUCCAAAACUAUUUAGCUAGAGUGUGGGAGAGGAAGAUGGAAUUAGUUGUGUAGGGGUAAAAUCCGUAGAGAUAACUAGGAAUACCAAAAGCGAAGGCAAUCUUCUGGAACACUACUGACGCUGAGGCGCGAAAGCGUGGGGAGCAAACAGGAUUAGAAACCCCUGUAGUCC
rnacentral:rRNA from 1 species